GACGAACGCUGGCGGCGUGCUUAACACAUGCAAGUCGAACGGUAAGGCCCUUCGGGGUACACGAGUGGCGAACGGGUGAGUAACACGUGGGUGAUCUGUCCUGCACUUCGGGAUAAGCCUGGGAAACUGGGUCUAAUACCGGAUAGGACCACUGCCUGCAUGGGUGGUGGUGGAAAGCUUUUGCGGUGUGGGAUGGGCCCGCGGCCUAUCAGCUUGUUGGUGGGGUGAUGGCCUACCAAGGCGACGACGGGUAGCCGGCCUGAGAGGGUGACCAGCCACACUGGGACUGAGAUACGGCCCAGACUCCUACGGGAGGCAGCAGUGGGGAAUAUUGCACAAUGGGCGCAAGCCUGAUGCAGCGACGCCGCGUGAGGGAUGACGGCCUUCGGGUCGUAAAGCUCUUUUAGUAGGGAAGAAGCGAAAGUGACGGUACCUGCAGAAAAAGCACCGGCUAACUACGUGCCAGCCGCCGCGGUAA
rnacentral:rRNA from 1 species